rnacentral:rRNA from 1 species
GACGAACGCUGGCGGCGUGGAUUAGGCAUGCAAGUCGCGCGACGGUAUUCCUUCGGGAAUAUACGGAGCGGCGAACGGGUGAGUAACACGUGAACAACCUGUCCCUACGUUCCGGAUAAUUGACCGAAAGGUCUUGUAAUACGGGGGAGGGUCUUAUGGGGCAUCUCAUGAAGAAGGAACGCGCAAGCGGCGCGGGGAGGGGUUCGCGGAUUAUCAGCUUGUUGGUGAGGUAAUGGCUCACCAAGGCGACGACGAUUAGCUGGUCUGAGAGGAUGGUCAGCCACAUUGGAACUGAGACACUGUCCAGACUCCUACGGGAGGCUGCAGUCGAGAAUCUUGGGCAAUGCACGAAAGUGUGA